rnacentral:rRNA from 1 species
CCCUUAGAUGUUCUGGGCUGCACGCGCGCUACACUGAAGCUAUCAACACGUUUUCCCUCCCUGAGAAGGGCGGGUAACCUUUUGAAUCAGCUUCGUGGUAGGGAUCGGGGCUUGCAAUUGUUCCCCGUGAACCAGGAAUUCCUAGUAGACGCGAGUCAUAAGCUCGCAUCGAUUAAGUCCCUGCCCUUUGUACACACCGCCCGUCGCUCCUACCGAUUGAACGUUUUAGUGAGGCAUUUGGACCGACGCAUCUCAGUUUAACCGCUGGUUUGUGUUGGAAAGACUUCCAAACUUGAGCGUUUAGAGGAAGUAAAAGUCGUAACA